rnacentral:rRNA from 1 species
AUUGAACGCUGGCGGCAUGCCUUACACAUGCAAGUCGAACGGCAGCAUGAUCUAGCUUGCUAGAUUGAUGGCGAGUGGCGAACGGGUGAGUAAUACAUCGGAACGUGCCCUGUAGUGGGGGAUAACUAGUCGAAAGAUUAGCUAAUACCGCAUACGACCUGAGGGUGAAAGUGGGGGACCGCAAGGCCUCAUGCUAUAGGAGCGGCCGAUGUCUGAUUAGCUAGUUGGUGAGGUAAAGGCUCACCAAGGCGACGAUCAGUAGCUGGUCUGAGAGGACGAUCAGCCACACUGGGACUGAGACACGGCCCAGACUCCUACGGGAGGCAGCAGUGGGGAAUUUGGACAAAGGGCGAAAGCCUGAUCCAGCAAUGCCGCGUGUGUGAAGAAGGCCUUCGGGUUGUAAAGCACUUUUGUCCGGAAAGAAAUGGCUCUGGUUAAUACCUGGGGUCGAUGACGGUACCGGAAGAAUAAGGACCGGCUAACUACGUG